UACGUAGGAGGCGAGCGUUGUCCGGAAUUACUGGGCGUAAAGAGCGCGUAGGCGGCACGGUACGACCGGUGUGAAAGCCCCCGGCUCAACUGGGGAGGGUCACCGGUAACGGCCGAGCUAUGAGUGCAGGAGAGGGAAGUGGAACUCCGGGAGUAGCGGUGAAUGCGUAGAGACCCGGAGGAACACCAGUGGCGAAGGCGGCUUCCUGGUCUGCGACUGACGCUGUGGCGCGAAAGCUAGGGGAGCAAACGGGG
rnacentral:rRNA from 1 species